rnacentral:rRNA from 1 species
GGGCCCGCACAAGCAGCGGAGCAUGUGGUUUAAUUCGAAGCAACGCGAAGAACCUUACCUAGACUUGACAUCUCCUGAAUUACUCGUAAUAGAGGAAGCCCUUCGGGGCAGGAAGACAGGUGGUGCAUGGUUGUCGUCAGCUCGUGUCGUGAGAUGUUGGGUUAAGUCCCGCAACGAGCGCAACCCUUAUCAUUAGUUGCUACCAUUAAGUUGAGCACUCUAGUGAGACUGCCCGGGUUAACCGGGAGGAAGGUGGGGAUGACGUCAAAUCAUCAUGCCCCUUAUGUCUAGGGCUACACACGUGCUACAAUGGGUGGUACAGAGAGACGCAAGACCGCGAGGUGGAGCAAAACUCUAAAACCACUCCCAGUUCGGAUUGAAGGCUGAAACUCGCCUUCAUGAAGCCGGAGUUGCUAGUAAUCGCGAAUCAGAAUGUCGCGGUGAAUACGUUCCCGGGCCUU